UUAGAACAGUGUUUGGGCCAAAUAGAUGGGGGUGAGCAGGGGAGGAAAGGUCUUGAGGGAGCAGCACGCUUGCCUGAUGGGUGCCCAAAGCCAGGGGCAGGUGGAGGUGAGAGAAGGACAAGCUCUGCAAACGUUGCGGAAGCGCUCUGUCCAUGGAGAAGGCACAGGACUUCCAUGUGGGGAGCAGCUUACUCCUGCUGAGAACUUUGGGGAGACAGAGUGGAGCAGCCAUCUCAGACCUGAGCGGCUAAGGAGCUGGGUCCCCCUCUGUCGCACUGUGCAGAGCUGCUGGACUUUGCAGUAAGCAGCCUUCAGGUCUAAAGGCUCCACAUUGUAAGGAAGCCCAGUCACAUGGACAGACCAUAUGGGUCCAGUUGGCUGCCCCAGCCAAGGUUUCAGCCAACAGCCAAGAUUACCCACAGCCACGUGUAUGAAUGAGCCUUCAAAUGAGUCCAGCACCCAGCAGAAUAAUGCCCCCUCCCGUCUCACAAAGAUUUCCAUGCCCUAAUUCCUGGAACCUGUGAAUCUGCUACAUCACAUGGCAAGCAGAGCUGGCAGAUGGAAUUUAGGGUGUGGAGCUUGAGGUGGGGAGGGCAGCCUGGAUUACACAGGUGGGCCCUAUCUAAGCACAUGAGCCCUUAUACAAGCAAAGAACAUUUCCUCAGCUGCCAGACAGCUGGCAAACAGAAUUGGAGGGGCAGAGAGAUGUAAUCAGAAAGGGCAGAAGAGACUUAAAAGGAAGAGAGGCUCGACCUGCUGUGGCUACCUUUGAAAAUGGAGGAAUGGGGCUCCAAGCCAAGGGAUGCAGGCUGCCUCUUCAUUGGAGUACUGCCAGCAAGAAAACAGCCCAGCAAUUGCAAGGAAAUUAAUUUUCCCAACAGUCUGAAUGAGCAAGAAAAUGGACUCUCCCCUGCCACGCCCUGAGUUCAGCCUUGUGAGACUCUAAGCAGAUACCCACUCAAGCCCACAGGACGUCCAACCCAUAACAAUUGUAAGAUAAUAAACUGGGAUAGUUUUAAGUCUCCAUGUUUGUGGUAAUUUGUCACAGCAGCAAUUGAAAAUAUAGCAGCCAUUGAGGUUUCCUUCUGAGGCCCUCGACAUCAGGGAACAGAGACAAGCUCUCUUCCCACUCCUGACCUGCAGAGGGGGUGAACAAAUGGCUGUUUUCUGCCGCCAAUUUAGGUAUUGCGCAGCUCUAGUAACUGAAUCGGGGGCUUCCAACCCCUUUCCCAGAAGGAACUGCUGUGUCCUCUGAAAUCACCAAGCCACAGUUUCUUCACCUGUAAAACAAGAGUAUGGACCAUAAAAGAGGCAACUUGUAUGUGCUGCUAUAAAAAGGCACCAGGCUGGACUUUUUAAGUGAAGGAUUGAUGACCAACGUACACCAUACAAUUCCAUUUUGUGAAAUGAAAACCCUUUGUUGCCACAAUGAGAUACCACUUCACACUCAUUAGGAUAGCUCUUAUCAAAAAAGUAGAAAAUAACAAGCAUUGGAGAAAUUAGAACCUUUGCACCUUGCUAGUGACAAUGAGAAAUGGUUUGGCUACUGUAGAAUAUGCUACAUAGGUUCUAAAGAUAUAAAACAUAGAAUUAUGUGGAUUUAUUCAUUCCACUUCUGGGCUUAUACCCAAAAGAAUUGAAAGCAGGAAUUCAAACGGAUAUCUAAUACCCCUAUGUUCACAGCAGCAUGGCAAGCAGAACUGGCAGAUGGAAUUUAGGCUGUGGACUUUGAGGUGGGGAGGGCAGCCUGGAUUAAACAGGUGGGCCCUAUCUAAGCACAUGAGCCCUUAUAAAAGCUCAUGUAGCUUUUUAUUACAGUAGCCAAAAGGUGGAAACAACUCAAAUGUCCAUUGAUGAAUGAAUGGGUUUUUUAAAAUGUGGUAUAUCCAGACAAUCGAAUAUUAU
rnacentral:lncRNA from 1 species